rnacentral:rRNA from 1 species
UACGUAGGGGGCUAGCGUUGUCCGGAAUCAUUGGGCGUAAAGCGCGCGUAGGCGGCCCGGUAAGUCCGCUGUAAAAGUCAAAGGCUCAACCUUUGAAUGUCAGUGGAUACUGCGGGCUAGAGUCGGAAGAGGCGAGUGGAAUCUCGGUGUAGCGGUGGAAUGCGCAGAUAUCAGGAGGAACACCGAUUGCGAAGGCAGCUCGCUGGGACGUCACUGACGCUGAGACGCGAAAGCGUGGGGAGCAAACAGG